rnacentral:rRNA from 1 species
AGAGUGAACGCUGGCGGCAGGCCUAAUACAUGCAAGUCGAACGGCAGCACAGCAGAGCUUGCUCUGUGGGUGGCGAGUGGCGGACGGGUGAGGAAUACAUGGGAAUCUGCCCAGUCGUGGGGGAUAACGUAGGGAAACUUACGCUAAUACCGCAUGCGCCCUUCGGGGGAAAGCCGGGGACCUUCGGGCCUGGCGCGAUUGGAUGAGCCCAUGUCGGAUUAGCUAGUUGGCGGGGUAAAGCCCACCAAGGCGACGAUCCGUAGCUGGUCUGAGAGGAUGAUCAGCCACACUGGAACUG